rnacentral:rRNA from 2 species
UACCCGCUGAGUUUAAGCAUAUCAAUA